rnacentral:lncRNA from 1 species
GAAUAAGCAAGUGAAACCGUGUCAGCCUUUUUCCGUAGAGAGUCAGACGAGUACACUGCUCUUGAAAUACAGCGUGUAAUUCGAGUAUGCCUAAUAUCCAGAAUGGAAACACGGCCUUACCUGCAACUGCCUCUGUUAUGUCUGAUAGUUCUGGUCAGUGGAAGGACAGGCUCACCAAUCCCUAAGCCCCCGUGCCUACGUUCUCGAUGCAAAGGGGACAUUUGUGUCAAGGAUAUAUGCUCCCUGGGGUGCAAAGAUGGGUAUUAUGGCCG